CGAGAAAGCCCGCAAGGGUGAGUACAGCGGCGCACGGGUGAGUAACACGUGGGCAAUCUGCCCUGGAGUCCGGAAUAACUCGCCGAAAGGCGUGCUAAUGCCGGAUAAGACCACGGGGACCUCGGUCCCUGCGGGAAAAGGUGGCCUCUGCAUGCAAGCUAUCACUUCAGGAUGAGCCCGCGGCCCAUCAGCUCGUUGGCGGGGUAACGGCCCACCAAGGCUACGACGGGUAGCUGGUCUGAGAGGACGAUCAGCCACACUGGAACUGAGACACGGUCCAGACUCCUACGGGAGGCAGCAGUGGGGAAUCUUGCGCAAUGGGCGAAAGCCUGACGCAGCAACGCCGCGUGUGUGAUGAAGGUCUUCGGAACGUAAAGCACUGUCGCGAGGGACG
rnacentral:rRNA from 1 species